UACAGAGGUGCCGAGCGUUAGGCGGAAUCACUGGGCUUAAAGCGUGUGUAGGCGGACUUCUAAGUACCUUGUGAAAUCCCACGGCUCAACCGUGGAACUGCUGGGUAUACUGGUCGUCUUGAGCCACCUAGGGGCGAGCGGAACAAAUGGUGGAGCGGUGAAAUGCGUAGAUAUCAUUUGGAACGCCAACGGUGAAAACAGCUGGCUGGGGGUGUACUGACGCUGAGACACGAAAGCCAGGGGAGCGAACGGG
rnacentral:rRNA from 1 species